CAUCUUCUUCUUCUUCCUCUUCUUUCGCCUCUGCAACUUAUUCUUCCAUUUCUUCCCCUAACAAGUCCCAUGGCCGCAUGCUUGUCCUGACCCGUCCCACCCCCAAACCCAUCACCUCGCCGCCACCUCUUUCCCCUCAACCCCUAUCUCGACCCCCAUCCGCCGAUCAUCGUCCAGUUCCGGAUCAGACCCGUCCCCAAUCCGAUUCCGAUUCGAUCUCUCUUCGCCCUCUCGGUCGGACCGGUACGGGCGGGAUCGCCCCCUCUCCGAUUCCGAGCUUGGAAAAGGACAAGGAGGCUCCUCCUCCGGCUGUGACGUUUCAUAAACCGGAGAAAUUUGUGCCACCUCAUCUCCGGGCGGG
rnacentral:misc_RNA from 1 species